CUGCAUGCAGCCGAUGACAGCACUCCUGCUGAGACUCUGAGUGCUCUGUCUCAAACGCCCUGACGCACUGUGG